CACCCAAAUGAAAAUUAUUAAAAUUUGUUUCUUUUUAAAUAAAAUUUUGCAGGUAGGUCAGUCCCCGCUUUUCUCACAUCUUUCCCAUACUAACACUUAGCUCAAACUACAAACAUCGCUCUUCAGAUUCACACCCCUUUCUUCCUUCCCACUCUGAACCUUCACAAAUCAAAUCCAUGGCGUAAAUCCAACCUCGUCCUCUGUGCUUCCUUUCUCUUUAUCUUAUCUGGUCACUCACUUGAUCUAGUUUCCUUUAGCAUUUCUACAAUUUUCGUUUUUAUCGAAACCCUAGAAAAUGUCAGGAGGGUUUUUCCGGGGUACGUCGGCUGACCAGGACACGCGGUUCUCCAAUAAGCAGGCAAAGUUGUUGAAAUCACAGAAAUUUCAUCCUGAAUUAGAGCACUUGGUGGACAUGACAAAGGUCAGUGCAGAUGUUAUCCGUCCGUGGAUUGCUACCAGAGUGACUGAACUGCUCGGGUUUGAAGAUGAAGUGCUUAUCAACUUCAUUUAUGGUCUUUUGGAUGGGAAGGCAGUGAAUGGGAAGCAGGUUCAAAUUUCACUUACUGGAUUUAUGGAAAAAAAUACUGGUAAAUUUAUGAAAGAGCUUUGGUCGCUACUACUGAGUGCCCAAAAUAAUGCUAGCGGCGUUCCUCAGCAGUUCCUUGAUGCUAAGCAAGAGGAGACUAGGAAAAAGAAGGAGGAGGCUGAUCGGAUUGCAAGCGAAAUCCAGAGAAAGAGAGAUAAGGAGAGUAGGGAUCUUGAAGAAGAGAGAUUGAAGAAGAUGGAAGGAAGGGUUGAAACAAAACCAAGCAAUGCUGCUUUGGAGCCAAACUCAAGGCACAACUUGCCUAGGGAUUCAAGUGAUCGUCCUGAGGAUGAAGUAACCGAAAAGAGGAAUGGCACAAGAGCGAGGAAUAGGAUUUCAAGAUCUCCUCAUUCAGCAGGCCGUUCAUCGUCUUCACGUGAAAGACAUAGGUCAAAGAGCAUGUCCCGAUCACCAGAAGCACAAGGUCGGCCCGUGACCUCUUCCUCUCCGAGAAGACGGUCUAUUACACCUCAUCGAAGGCGUUCACCUCGACAAUCAAUUUCUCCAAUAAGAAAAAGAGGACUAAAUUCCAAGAGAUCUCGAUCCCCCUCUCCAUCUAGGCGUCGAGUAGGUUCUCCAUAUCGACAUCGAUCGCCCUCAUUUGAACAUCGUAGAUCACCACCACCUUUGCGCCGUCGUAGAUCACCAUCGCCUUUGCGGCGGCGUCGAUCACCAUCACCUAUGCGUCGGCGUAGGUCACCAUCACCUUUUCGUCGACGUAGAUCACCAUCACCUUUUCGUCGACGUAGAUCACCGUCACCUUUUCGUCGGCGUAGAUCACCCUCUCCUGCACGUCAUCGUAGAUCUCCAUCUCCAACAAGACGUCGUAGGUCUCCAUCUCCUGCCCGUCGUCGUAGAUCUCCGUCUCCUGAUCAUCGCCGCAGAUCUCCAUCCCUUGUGCGUCGCCGUAGAUCUCCAUCUCCCAUGCAUCGUCGUCGAUCCCCAUCACCAAUGCGUCAUCGUAGGUCACCCUCACCUGGACGACGACAUAUAUCACCAUCCCCUGACCCUCAUAGAUCUCCUUCCCCAGUACAUCGUCGUAUAUCACCCUCACCAGUGCGACGAAGGUCACCUACUCCUAUACGACGUAGGUCUCCUCCGGUGCACCGUAGGUUGCAAAGAUCAUCUACUCCAGAAGAUGAGUCUCCAUCUCUUGCACGUGGGAGGUCACCCGUUGCUGGCAGGAGGAGGUCACCAAUUGGUGGUGGGAGUAGGAGGUCACCAGUUGGUGGUGGGAGGAGGCCAACCCUUGAUAGUAGAUCACCAUCACCUUUUGAACGAAGUUCUUCAUCUCCAAGUCAGCUUCGUUCCACUUCACCAAUUAGGAGAAAUUCUCUUAAGCAUCAGAUAAAAUCUCCUAUGCAAUCACCUAGUGGAAGGAUGAGAUCUGCUAGUUCUAUGAGAUCACUGCAAAGAGAAUCAAGGAAUCAAAGUGAUUCCCAUAACAGAAUUUCAGCCUUGUCCCCAUUGCCUGCAUCACCGUCAGCUGGAAGGAGUACUAGCGAAGAAAGGAGUCCAUAUGAGAGCUCUAUGAGGCAACCAAGGGGCCGAAUGUCUCGGGAUAUUAGCUCUAGUCCUCCAAGGAAACCAAGAGAUCAGAAACUUCACAACGACAGUACAGAGAUAAGUGAAGCCAAGGAGAAAAAAGGAACCCUUGGGACUCCUGAUCGAGAUAGGCCUUCGAAAGUGUAUAAGGAACCUCUGCCAGAUGAUGGACCACAUGCGUUGUAUUCUGGUGAAGGUAGAAAAUCUGAUGACAAGGGCCGCUCUCAUUCAAAAAAUAUCAAAGAGAGCAGUCAUGAGAGAGUUAAUAAUUAUAGUGGGUCCUUUGAUUCAGCUUCUGAUGAAAAUAAUAACCAUGGAGCUGGAGGUAAGGAAAAGAGAAAACAUAAAAGAUCAGAAAGGCGAGAAUCAGCUUCUGAUGAUUAUAGCUCUGAUUCUGAAAAGGAGGACAGAAAAGAGGCUAAAAGGAGAAAGAAAGAGGAAAAGAAAUUGCGUAAAGAGAAGAGGCGACAAAAACGUGAGGAUCGGCGUCGCAGAAGGGAUGAACGCCGGGCUGGGAAACUAAGAGGAAAGAAUCAAAGUGAUGCUUCUGCUUCAGAUGAUGAAUAUGGUGGUAGGAGAGAUUCUCAAACUAGUGAGAAUGAAGAGAUGGAGUCUGAGCAGAAAAAGCUUGAGAUUGAGUUGCGGAAGAAGGCUCUUGAAUCACUUAAAGCAAAGAAGGGCAUCAGUCAAUGAAUUUAAAUAUGCUGUUGUGGAAUAUUAAGCUUCUAUUUCGUUUUUCUGAUACUAUAAAGCACCAACUUUAAGAACAUUUAGGAAUAUUAUCUGCUUGAUUGAGAGUUAUCAAUAUUUUGUUACUGUUUAAUGCAGUCUGUUUACUGCUGGCAGCUGAAAUGGAUAAUGAGGAUUUCCCGAGCUUAAUCUCGUGGGUGCAACUUUAUGCAGGCAUUGCUGCUAGAUUUUCUGAUGAAAAUGUCAUGGUUGAGCAGGCAGAUCAGCGGUUUGUACAUAUAUGCAGGCAUUGCUGCUAGUUUUCUUUCUUUUACAGGCUCGCCCGUCAGAAGAACAUUGUUUGUGCACCUCUUAUGUAAAUUUUUGUUUAGUCUAAGGCUUAUGUGGCUCUUACCAUGUAUAUAAGCAGAUGCUCUGCCUUUACUGUAUUUUAGUUCAAAAUUCAUGGUUGGCCACUCUCUAGUCAAAAUAAUAAAAUAUAAGUCAAUGAAUAAAAACAUCUCUAUACUACUA